rnacentral:rRNA from 2 species
CUGAGUACGGCGGAACACGUGAAAUUCCGUCGGAAUCCGGGAGGACCAUCUCCCAAGGCUAAAUACUCCCUAGUGACCGAUAGUGAACCAGUACCGUGAGGGAAAGGUGAAAAGCACCCCGGAAGGGGAGUGAAACAGUUCCUGAAACCGUGUGCCUACAAGUAGUUAGAGCCCGUUAAUGGGUGAUAGCGUGCCUUUUGUAGAAUGAACCGGCGAGUUACGAUUUGUUGCAAGGUUAAGCGGAAAAAGCGGAGCCGUAGCGAAAGCGAGUCUGAAUAGGGCGCAUAAGUAACAGGUCGUAGACCCGAAACCAGGUGAUCUACCCAUGUCCAGGAUGAAGGUAAGGUAAUACUUACUGGAGGUCCGAACCCACGCACGUUGAAAAGUGCGGGGAUGAGGUGUGGGUAGCGGAGAAAUUCCAAUCGAACUUGGAGAUAGCUGGUUCUCUCCGAAAUAGCUUUAGGGCUAGCCUCGAGGUAAAGAGUCAUGGAGGUAGAGCACUGUUUGGACUAGGGGCCCUUCUCGGGUUACCGAAUUCAGAUAAACUCCGAAUGCCAUGUACUUAUACUCGGGAGUCAGACUGCGAGUGAUAAGAUCCGUAGUCGAAAGGGAAACAGCCCAGACCACCAGUUAAGGUCCCCAAAUAUAUGUUAAGUGGAAAAGGAUGUGGGGUUGCUUAGACAACCAGGAUGUUGGCUUAGAAGCAGCCACCAUUGAAAGAGUGCGUAAUAGCUCACUGGUCGAGUGACCCCGCGCCGAAAAUGUACCGGGGCUAAACAUAUUACCGAAACUGUGGAUGAACCUCUUUAGAGGUUCGUGGUAGGAGAGCGUUCUAAGGGCGGUGAAGUCAGACCGGAAGGACUGGUGGAGCGCUUAGAAGUGAGAAUGCCGGUAUGAGUAGCGAAAGAAGGGUGAGAAUCCCUUCCACCGAAUAUCUAAGGUUUCCUGAGGAAGGCUCGUCCGCUCAGGGUUAGUCGGGACCUAAGCCGAGGCCGAUAGGCGUAGGCGAUGGACAACAGGUAGAGAUUCCUGUACCAGUGCUAAUUGUUUAACCGAUGGGGUGACACAGAAGGAUAGGGAAUCGCACGAAUGGAAAUGUGCGUCCAAGCAGUGAGUGUGAGAAGUAGGCAAAUCCGCUUCUCGCGAAGCAUGAGCUGUGAUGGGGAAGGAAAUUAAGUACGGAAGUUCCUGAUUUCACGCUGUCAAGAAAAGCCUCUAGGAAGAGUAGUACUGCCCGUACCGCAAACCGACACAGGUAGAUGAGGAGAGAAUCCUAAGGUGAGCGAGAGAACUCUCGUUAAGGAACUCGGCAAAAUGACCCCGUAACUUCGGGAGAAGGGGUGCUCUAUUAGGGUGCAAGCCCGAGAGAGCCGCAGUGAAUAGGCCCAGGCGACUGUUUAGCAAAAACACAGGUCUCUGCAAAACCGUAAGGUGACGUAUAGGGGCUGACGCCUGCCCGGUGCUGGAAGGUUAAGAGGAGUGCUUAGCUUCGGCGAAGGUACGAAUUGAAGCCCCAGUAAACGGCGGCCGUAACUAUAACGGUCCUAAGGUAGCGAAAUUCCUUGUCGGGUAAGUUCCGACCCGCACGAAAGGCGCAACGAUCUGGGCACUGUCUCAACGAGAGACUCGGUGAAAUUAUAGUACCUGUGAAGAUGCAGGUUACCCGCGACAGGACGGAAAGACCCCGUGGAGCUUUACUGCAACCUGAUAUGGAAUGUUUGUACCGCUUGUACAGGAUAGGUAGGAGCCGAAGAGACGUGUGCGCUAGCAUACGAGGAGGCAAUGGUGGGAUACUACCCUGGCUGUAUGACCAUUCUAACCCGCCACGCUUAGCGCGUGGGGAGACAGUGUCAGGUGGGCAGUUUGACUGGGGCGGUCGCCUCCUAAAGAGUAACGGAGGCGCCCAAAGGUUCCCUCAGAAUGGAUGGAAAUCAUUCGCAGAGUGUAAAGGCACAAGGGAGCUUGACUGCGAGACUGACAAGUCGAGCAGGGACGAAAGUCGGGCUUAGUGAUCCGGUGGUUCCGCAUGGAAGGGCCAUCGCUCAACGGAUAAAAGCUACCCCGGGGAUAACAGGCUUAUCUCCCCCAAGAGUCCACAUCGACGGGGAGGUUUGGCACCUCGAUGUCGGCUCGUCGCAUCCUGGGGCUGUAGUCGGUCCCAAGGGUUGGGCUGUUCGCCCAUUAAAGCGGCACGCGAGCUGGGUUCAGAACGUCGUGAGACAGUUCGGUCCCUAUCCGUCGCGGGCGCAGGAAAUUUGAGAGGAGCUGUCCUUAGUACG